GGAAUUCCCGCCCGCGAUGGAAAAAUCCGCGCCGUCUGAGGGCAUGAGAAGAACCAGCUGAUCGGGGGAGUAUAUAAUGCCUCGAGGAAGAAGCUCGGGAUCCAGAUCACCUUCUGCCUCUGAAGCUGCAACACCUCCUCAGCCAACAUGAAGUUGAUUUCCUUGUUGAUGGCCAUGGCCGUGGCCCUGUCCUGCUUCAUGGGGUCUGCCCAUGCCAUGCCCGAGCCCUAUGCCCUUCCUGACGCAGAGGCCGAACCCUGGCGCCUUAGGCCCUACGGUGGCCACUAUUUCUACCACUAUAGGCCGUACAGAUUCCAUGGUCAUCACCACUACGGCUAAGCAGUCACAGAGCGCAGUGCAGAAGACCGCCUUACGCCAAUAAGGAUUUCUCUUCCUCUUUCUAUCUCUGCCUAUGUCUGUCGAAGAUCCCUCUGCGAACGCCAAUGUGAACCGAAAUUUCUGCCUUCGUCCGCAAUGAUUUCUUCAAGAUUUCAAAAGACUCAAAAUGUAUCGAGAAAAAAAAUGGAACUACUGCUUCUUUCCGAUUAAAAUUCGUGCAAUGACA